AGAUCCUGGCGGCGUCUUACACCUGCAAUGUCUCAACGAACGUUCGGGUUAGUGGCGGACGGGUGAGUAACGCGUGAGAAUCUGCCCUCAGGAGGGGGAUAACGGCUGGAAACGGCCGCUAAUACCCCAUAUGCCGCGAGGUGAAAUGAAUUUCGCCUGAGGAUGAGCUCGCGUCUGAUUAGCUAGUUGGUGGGGUAAGAGCCUACCAAGGCAUCGAUCAGUAGCUGGUCUGAGAGGAUGAUCAGCCACACUGGGACUGAGACACGGGCCAGACUCCUACGGGAGGCAGCAGCGGGGAAUUUUCCGCAAUGGGCGAAAGCCUGACGGAGCAACGCCGCGUGAGGGAUGAAGGCCUCUGGGCUGUAAACCUCUUUUAUCAAGGAAGAAGAUCUGACGGUACUUGAUGAAUAAGCCACGGCUAAUUCCGUGCCAGCAGCCGCGGUAAUACGGGAGUGGCAAGCGUUAUCCGGAAUUAUUGGGCGUAAAGCGUCCGCAGGCGGUUUAUGUAAGUCUGUUGUUAAAGCGUGGAGCUUAACUCCAUUUGAGCAAUGGAAACUG
rnacentral:rRNA from 1 species